rnacentral:rRNA from 1 species
GAUGAACGCUGGCGGCGUGCCUAAUACAUGCAAGUCGAGCGAACAGACGAGGAGCUUGCUCCUCUGACGUUAGCGGCGGACGGGUGAGUAACACGUGGAUAACCUACCUAUAAGACUGGGAUAACUUCGGGACACCGGAGCUAAUACCGGAUAAUAUAUUGAACCGCAUGGUUCAAUAGUGAAAGACGGUUUUGCUGUCACUUAUAGAUGGAUCUGCGCCGCAUUAGCUAGUUGGUAAGGUAACGGCUUACCAAGGCAACGAUGCGUAGCCGAACGGAGAGGGUGAUCGGCCACACUGGAACUGAGACACGGUCCAGACUCCUACGGGAGGCAGCAGUAGGGAAUCUUCCGCAAUGGGCGAAAGCCUGACGGAGCAACGCCGCGUGAGUGAUGAAGGUCUUCGGAUCGUAAAACUCUGUUAUUAGGGAAGAACAAAUGUGUAAGUAACUAUGCACGUCUUGACGGUACCUAAUCAGAAAGCCACGGCUAACUACGUG